AUUGAACGCUGGCGGCAGGCUUAACACAUGCAAGUCGAGCGAGCGGCGGACGGGUGAGUAAUGUCUGGGAAAUUGCCUGAUGGAGGGGGAUAACUACUGGAAACGGUAGCUAAUACCGCAUACCAUCAGAUGUGCCCAGAUUGGUUUAGCUAGUAGGUGGGGUAAUGGCUCACCUAGGCGACUAUCCCUAGCUGGUCUGAGAGGAUGACCAGCCACCCUGGAACAGAGACACGGUCCAGACUCCUACGGGAGGCAGCAGUGGGGAAUAUUCCGCAAUGGGCGCAAGCCUGAUGCAGCCAUGCCGCGUGUGUGAAGAAGGUCUUCGGGUUGUAAAGCACUGUCAGCGGGGAGGCGUUACUCGCAGAAGAAGCAACGGCUAACUCCGUGCCAGCCGCCGCGGUAAUUC
rnacentral:rRNA from 1 species